rnacentral:rRNA from 1 species
CAAGGAAUUUUCCCCAAUGGGCGCAAGCCUGAGGGAGCAACGCCGCGUGGGGGAUGAAGCAUUUCGGUGUGUAAACCCCUUUUCCAGGGGACGAAGGAAGUGACGGUACCCUGGGAAGAAGGCCCGGCUAACUACGUGCCAGCAGCCGCGGUAAUACGUAGGGGCCAAGCGUUGUCCGGAGUUACUGGGCGUAAAGGGUGCGCAGGCGGUUGGUUACGUCGUGUGUGAAAGCCCCCGGCUUAACCGGGGAGGGUCGCGCGAAACGGGCUAACUGGUGGCAAGGCGAGGUCGGUGGAAUUCCCGGUGUAGUGGUGAAAUGCGUAGAGAUCGGGAGGAACACCAGAGGCGAAGGCGGCCGACUGGACUUGACCUGACGCUGAGGCGCGAAGGCGUGGGGAGCGAACGGGAUUAGAUACCCCCGUAGUCC